AACGAACGCUGGCGGCAUGCCUAACACAUGCAAGUCGAACGAGACCUUCGGGUCUAGUGGCGCACGGGUGCGUAACGCGUGGGAACCUGCCCUUAGGUUCGGAAUAACUCCCCGUAGGGGGUGCUAAUACCGGAUAAUUUCUUCUGACCAAAGAUUUAUCGCCUUUGGAUGGGCCCGCGUUGGUUUAGCUAGUUGGUAGUGUAAAAGCCUACCAAGGCGACGAUCCAUAGCUGGUCUGAGAGGAUGAGCAGCCACACUGGGACUGAGAAACGGCCCAGAAUACUACGGGAGGCAGGAGUGGGGAAUACUGGAAAAUGGGCGAAAGGAAGAUCCAGCAAUGCCGCGUGAGUGAUGAAGGUGUUAGGGUUGUAAAGCUCUUUUACCCGGGAUGAUAAUGACAGUACCGGGAGAAUAAGCACCGGCUAACUUCGUG
rnacentral:rRNA from 1 species